AUCAAAGUGUCGAGUAAAAAGAGAAAAAAACCCUCACAUGUCAUACAGAACAGCUGAAAACCUGUCUCACCUUCAGUGCUCAUUAAAAUAAUCUAAUUCUACAGGAGAAGUACUUCAUGAAAAGGUGGAAGGUGUGCACUUUGGGCCCUGCAUUCUGCUCCAUCAAAUUCCAUCUGUAAUCACAUCCCAAGGCCAG
rnacentral:lncRNA from 1 species